rnacentral:rRNA from 1 species
ACAUGCAAGUCGAACGGUAACAGAGCUAGCAAUAGCUGCUGACGAGUGGCGUAUGGGUGCGUAACGCGUAUGCAACCUACCUGUAAUUGGAACAUAACGUUGAGAAAUUAGCGCUAAUAUUCCAUGUGGAUAUGAGACGGCAUCGUUUUAUAUUUAAAGAUUUAUUGAUUACAGAUGGGCAUGCGUAUCAUUAGCUAGUUGGUAAGGUAACGGCUCACCAAGGCAACGAUGAUUAGGGGUUCUGAGAGGAUAUCCCCCCACACUGGAACUGAGACACGGUCCAGACUCCUACGGGAGGCAGCAGUAGGGAAUAUUGGGCAAUGGAGGCAACUCUGACCCAGCCAUGCCGCGUGAAGGAAUACAGCCCUACGGGUUUUAAACUUCUUUUAUUAUAGAGUAACCGGAGGUACGUGUACCUCCCUGCAAGUAUAUAAUGAAUAAGGAUCGGCUAACUCCGUGCCAGCAGCCGCGGUAAUACGGAGGAUCCGAGCGUUAUCCGGAUUUAUUGGGUUUAAAGGGUGCGCAGGCUGAUCGAUAAGUCAGGGGUGAAAAAUUUCAGCUUAACUGGAAUCGUGCCUUUGAUACUGUCGGACUAGAGUGUAACUGACGUGACUGGAAUGUGCCGUGUAGCGGUGAAAUGCUUAGAUAUGUCACAGAACGCCAAUCGUGAAGACAGGUCACGAAGUUACUACUGACGCUCAUGCACGAAAGCGUGGGGAUCAAACAGGAUUAGAUACCCUGGUAGUCCUAGCCGUAAACGAUGGGUACUAGGUGUAGGUGGUUUCGAUACCAUCUGUGCCGUAGUUAACGCAUUAAGUACCCCGCCUGGGGAGUACGUGCGCAAGCAUGAAACUCAAAGGAAUUGACGGGGGCCCGCACAAGCGGUGGAGCAUGUGGUUUAAUUCGAAGCAACGCGAAGAACCUUACCAGGUCUUGACAUCCCUGGACAGCUGUGGAAACACAGUUUCCCUUCGGGGCCAGGAGACAGGUGGUGCAUGGUUGUCGUCAGCUCGUGUCGUGAGAUGUUGGGUUAAGUCCCGCAACGAGCGCAACCCUUGCCUUUAGUUGCCAUCAUUAAGUUGGGCACUUUAAAGGGACUGCCGGUGAUAAACCGGAGGAAGGUGGGGAUGACGUCAAAUCAUCAUGCCCCUUAUGUCCUGGGCUACACACGUGCUACAAUGGUCUGUACAGAGGGAAGCGAAGCAGUGAUGUGAAGCGAAUCCCAGAAAACAGAUCUCAGUUCGGAUUGUAGGCUGCAACUCGCCUAUAUGAAGCUGGAAUCGCUAGUAAUCGCAGGUCAGCAUACUGCGGUGAAUACGUUCCCGGGCCUUGUACACACCGCCCGUCACACCACGGAAGUUUGCAACACCCAAAGCCGGU